ACACAUGCAAGUCGAACGGAACUGUUUUGAAAGAUUUCUUCGGAAUGAAUUUGAUUUAGUUUAGUGGCGGACGGGUGAGUAACGCGUGAGUAACCUGCCUUCAAGAGGGGGAUAACAUUCUGAAAAGAAUGCUAAUACCGCAUGACAUAUCGGAAUCACAUGAUUUUGAUAUCAAAGAUUUUAUCGCUUGAAGAUGGACUCGCGUCCGAUUAGUUAGUUGGUGAGGUAACGGCUCACCAAGACCGCGAUCGGUAGCCGGACUGAGAGGUUGAACGGCCACAUUGGGACUGAGACACGGCCCAGACUCCUACGGGAGGCAGCAGUGGGGGAUAUUGCGCAAUGGGGGCAACCCUGACGCAGCAACGCCGCGUGAAGGAUGAAGGUUUUCGGAUUGUAAACUUCUUUUAUUAAGGACGAAAAAUGACGGUACUUAAUGAAUAAGCUCCGGCUAACUACGUGCCAGCAGCCGCGGUAAUACGUAGGGAGCAAGCGUUGUCCGGAUUUACUGGGUGUAAAGGGUGCGUAGGCGGCUUUGCAAGUCAGAUGUGAAAUCUAUGGGCUCAACCCAUAAACUGCAUUUGAAACUGUAGAGCUUGAGUGAAGUAGAGGCAGGCGGAAUUCCCCGUGUAGCGGUGAAAUGCGUAGAGAUGGGGAGGAACACCAGUGG
rnacentral:rRNA from 1 species